GCACUGUUGAUGAGUCCCACAAUAGGACGAAACGGUCGUUCAGUGC
rfam:Schistosoma rodhaini strain Burundi genome assembly, scaffold: SROB_scaffold0016183